AUUGAACGCUGGCGGCAGGCUUAACACAUGCAAGUCGAGCGGGGGAGGUUGCUUCGGUAACUGACCUAGCGGCGGACGGGUGAGUAAUGCUUAGGAAUCUGCCUAUUAGUGGGGGACAACAUUCCGAAAGGGAUGCUAAUACCGCAUACGCCCUACGGGGGAAAGCAGGGGAUCUUCGGACCUUGCGCUAAUAGAUGAGCCUAAGUCGGAUUAGCUAGUUGGUGGGGUAAAGGCCUACCAAGGCGACGAUCUGUAGCGGGUCUGAGAGGAUGAGCCGCCACACUGGGACUAAGGCACGGCCCAGACUCCUACGGGAGGCAGCAGUGGGGAAUAUUGGACAAUGGGCGGAAGCCUGAUCCAGCCAUGCCGCGUGUGUGAAGAAGGCCUUCGGGUCGUAAAGCACUUUCAGUAGGGAGGAAGCGUUGUGUGUUAAUAGUACACAGCGUUGACGUUACCUACAGAAGAAGCACCGGCUAACUCUGUGCCAGCAGCCGCAGUAAAAC
rnacentral:rRNA from 1 species